GGGGGCGCUGGCAGGCCUUGCCUGGGCUUCCCAAGGAGCCCCCCCGCAGUGCAGCCCAGCCAGCUUGGUUCCUUCUCAGACUUAUCUGGUGAACACAGUCACGUGAGCCUGGAGAAUUGGGGGCUCUGCAGAGGCCCCCCAGGGCCUUUUCCAGGCAAACCACAACAGUAAGGCAGAGAGGUGGUGUGAAUGCCUCCCUCCCGGAGUUGCCAUGAGGAUUUCAUGAAGCGAGUCAGAGGAAGCAGCUGGCUUUUUUCAUGGCAGCCACAGAAGGGAGAGCCUGCACCACUGAACUACAUUCCUGGCCCUCUUCCUCCUUUUCCAGAGACAAGGAUUAAGUGGUGGAGCUGGAAAGCCCGAAUUUUAGAAAAGUCCAAGGGAGUCGGGUGUGUUGGCACACCCCUGUCAUCCUAGCGCUCUGGGAGGCUGAGGCAGGAGGACAGAAGUUCAAGCCCAGCCUCAAUGACUUAGUGAGUUACUGAAACUCUGUUUCAAAAUAAAAAAUCAAAAAGUUCUCGGGGUGUGACCCAUGCCAAGGCCCUGGGUUCAGUCCGAGUGGAGCAGGGUGAUAAAGGAAGUGAAGAUGGCGGGGGAGCUCCCCUGGGUGAGAGUGUCCAAGCCUGGGGUUAGUUUUACCCCGCUGAGCUCUCAGGCUCCGGGUUUUUGAGGGUACCUUGGCUGUGCCAGAGCCCAGGCUGCACUCAGUGUACUGGGCCACACCUUAUAAUCCAGGACUCAGCAAGACCCCUCUCCCACCUCCCAGCCUCCCUCUUGUCCCCCAGUUCUUUGUGGGAGCUCUGCUGGGGUGUGGUGGUGCAUGCCUGUCAUCCCAGCACUCUGCGAGGCUGAGUCAAAAGGAGCCAUAGGUUCCAAAUCAGCCCGGGCAACUUAGUGACUUAGCUAGACACUGCCUCAAAAGAGA
rnacentral:lncRNA from 1 species